AAUGAACGCUGGCGGCGUGCUUAACACAUGCAAGUCGUACGAGAAAUCUUUGGGCUUGCUCGAAGAGAGUAAAGUGGCGCACGGGUGAGUAACGCGUGGGUAAUUUGCCUUCAAAUUGGGGAUAACGUGCCGAAAGGCGUGCUAAUACCGGAUAAAAUCUUAUUGACUUUGGUUGAUGAGAUCAAAGGUGGCCUAUUCAAGAAAGCUACUGUUUGGAGAUAAGCCCGCGUACCAUUAGCUAGUUGGCAGGGUAAAGGCCUACCAAGGCGACGAUGGUUAGCUGGUCUGAGAGGAUGACCAGCCACACUGGAACUGACACACGGUCCAGACUCCUACGGGAGGCAGCAGUGAGGAAUUUUGCGCAAUGGGCGAAAGCCUGACGCAGCAACGCCGCGUGAGUGAUGAAGGCCUUCGAGUCGUAAAGCUCUGUCAAGUGGGAAGAAAGUGUAUGAGUCGAACAGGCUUAUGUAUUGACGGUACCACUGAAGGAAGCACCGGCUAACUCCGUGCCAGCAGCCGCGGUAAUACGGAGGGUGCGAGCGUUAUUCGGAAUUAUUGGGCGUAAAGGGCGCGUAGGCGGCCGAAAAAGUCAGUUGUGAAAUCCCGGGGCUUAACCCCGGAAGUGCGAUUGAAACUGUUUGGCUUGAGUAUGGGAGAGGGAAGUGGAAUUCCUGGUGUAGAGGUGAAAUUCGUAGAUAUCAGGAGGAACACCGGUGGCGAAGGCGACUUCCUGGACCAAUACUGACGCUGAUGCGCGAAGGCGUGGGUAGCAAACAGGAUUAGAUACCCUGGUAGUCCACGCAGUAAACGGUGAUCACUAGGUGUAGCGGGUAUUGACCCCUGCUGUGCCGCAGCUAACGCAUUAAGUGAUCCGCCUGGGGAGUACGGCCGCAAGGUUAAAACUCAAAGGAAUUGACGGGGGCCCGCACAAGCGGUGGAGCAUGUGGUUUAAUUCGACGCAACGCGAAGAACCUUACCUGGUCUUGACAUCCCGGGAAUUUUCUGGAAACAGGAAAGUGCCUCGCAAGAGGAGCCUGGUGACAGGUGCUGCAUGGCUGUCGUCAGCUCGUGUCGUGAGAUGUUGGGUUAAGUCCCGCAACGAGCGCAACCCUUAUCUUUAGUUGCCAUCAUUGAGUUGGGCACUCUAAAGAGACUGCCGGUGUCAAACCGGAGGAAGGUGGGGAUGACGUCAAGUCCUCAUGGCCUUUAUGACCAGGGCUACACACGUACUACAAUGGCCGGUACAAAGGGCAGCAACACAGCGAUGUGAAGCCAAUCCCGAAAAGCCGGUCUCAGUCCGGAUUGGAGUCUGCAACUCGACUCCAUGAAGUUGGAAUCGCUAGUAAUCGUGGAUCAGCACGCCACGGUGAAUACGUUCCCGGGCCUU
rnacentral:rRNA from 1 species